rnacentral:rRNA from 1 species
UACGAAGGGGGCUAGCGUUGCUCGGAAUCACUGGGCGUAAAGCGCACGUAGGCGGGUUCUUAAGUCAGGGGUGAAAUCCUGGAGCUCAACUCCAGAACUGCCUUUGAUACUGGCGGUCUCGAGUCCGGGAGAGGUGAGUGGAACUGCGAGUGUAGAGGUGAAAUUCGUAGAUAUUCGCAAGAACACCAGUGGCGAAGGCGGGUCUCUGGGCCGAUACUGACGCUGAGGAGCGAAAGCGUGGGGAGCGAACAGG